rnacentral:rRNA from 1 species
UACGAAGGGGGCUAGCGUUGUUCGGAAUUACUGGGCGUAAAGUGUGCGCAGGCGGCUUCUCAAGUCAGGGGUGAAAGCCCAGAGCUCAACUCUGGAAUUGCCUUUGAGACUGAGUGGCUUGAGUACGAGAGAGGUGAGUGGAAUUCCCAGUGUAGAGGUGAAAUUCGUAGAUAUUGGGAAGAACACCGGUGGCGAAGGCGGCUCACUGGCUCGUAACUGACGCUCAUGCACGACAGCGUGGGGAUCAAACAGG